GCGGAGGAAAAGAAACCAACAGGGAUUGCCCUAGUAACGGCGAGUGAAGCGGCAACAGCUCAAAUUUGAAAUCUGGCUCUUUCAGAGUCCGAGUUGUAAUUUGCAGAGGGCGCUUUGGCUUUGGCAGCGGUCCAAGUUCCUUGGAACAGGACGUCACAGAGGGUGAGAAUCCCGUACGUGGUCGCUAGCUAUUGCCGUGUAAAGCCCCUUCGACGAGUCGAGUUGUUUGGGAAUGCAGCUCUAAAUGGGAGGUAAAUUUCUUCUAAAGCUAAAUAUUGGCCAGAGACCGAUAGCGCACAAGUAGAGUGAUCGAAAGAUGAAAAGCACUUUGGAAAGAGAGUCAAACAGCACGUGAAAUUGUUGAAAGGGAAGCGCUUGCAGCCAGACAUGCUUGCAGUUGCUCAUCCGGGCUUUUGCCCGGUGCACUCUUCUGUAGGCAGGCCAGCAUCAGUUUGGGCGGUGGGAUAAAGGUCUCUGUCACGUACCUCUCUUCGGGGAGGCCUUAUAGGGGAGACGACAUACCACCAGCCUAGACUGAGGUCCGCGCAUCUGCUAGGAUGCUGGCGUAAUGGCUGUAAGCGGCCCGUCUUGAAACACGGACCAAGGAGUCUAACAUCUAUGCGAGUGUUUGGGUGUCAAGCCCGAGCGCGUAAUGAAAGUGAACGGAGGUGGGAACCCGCAAGGGUGCACCAUCGACCGAUCCUGAAGUUUACGGAAGGAUUUGAGUAAGAGCAUGGCUGUUGGGACCCGAAAGAUGGUGAACUAUGCUUGAAUAGGGUGAAGCCAGAGGAAACUCUGGUGGAGGCUCGCAGCGGUUCUGACGUGCAAAUCGAUCGUCAAAUUUGGGCAUAGGGGCGAAAGACUAAUCGAACUAUCUAGUAGCUGG
rnacentral:rRNA from 1 species